rnacentral:rRNA from 1 species
AUUGAACGCUGGCGGCAUGCUUUACACAUGCAAGUCGAACGGCAGCGGGGUAGUGCUUGCACUACUGCCGGCGAGUGGCGAACGGGUGAGUAAUAUAUCGGAACGUACCGAGUAAUGGGGGAUAACCAAUCGAAAGAUUGGCUAAUACCGCAUACGUCCUGAGGGAGAAAGCGGGGGAUCGCAAGACCUCGCGUUAUUCGAGCGGCCGAUAACUGAUUAGCUAGUUGGUGGGGUAAAGGCCUACCAAGGCGACGAUCAGUAGCGGGUCUGAGAGGACGAUCCGCCACACUGGGACUGAGACACGGCCCAGACUCCUACGGGAGGCAGCAGUGGGGAAUUUUGGACAAUGGGGGCAACCCUGAUCCAGCCAUGCCGCGUGUAUGAAGAAGGCCUUCGGGUUGUAAAGUACUUUUGUUAGGGAAGAAGAGGGAAGUGCUAAUACCACUUUUUGCUGACGGUACCUAAAGAAUAAGCACCGGCUAACUACGUG